rnacentral:rRNA from 1 species
CACGGGGGGAGCAAGCGUUGUUCGGAAUCACUGGGCGUAAAGGGCGUGUAGGCGGUUCGGCAAGUGAAAUGUGAAAUCCCUCGGCUCACCCGAGGAUCUGCAUCUCAAACUGCCGGACUAGAGUAUGGGAGAGGACAAGGGAAUUCCUGGUGUAGCGGUGAAAUGCGUAGAUAUCGUAAGGAAGACCAGUGGCGAAGGCGGGUCUCUGGACAGUUCCUGACGCUGAGGCACGAAGGCCAGGGGAGCAAACGGG